UUUUUUUUAUUUCAUCACAUGGGACAAUGCUCUAAUAAUGAUGAUCAUCGCACUUUUUAGUUACUCAAAGCUCAAAGAUCACAAUGAUGAUGACUCCAUAGGAAAUGCCUCCGGCAGUGUACCGGGAUGUGCAACGAUCUAGUAUGAUCAUGCAAUGGCAAUAUGAGAGUGACGACACAAGUCAUGCGAUGGAACGGUGGUAGUUGCAUGGAAAUAUAUCUCGGAAUGGCUAUGAAAAUGCCAUAGUAGGUAGGUAUGGUGGCUGUUUUCAGGAAGGAAUUUGGUGGGUUUGAGUACCGGCGAGAAUUGCGCGGACUAGAGAGGCUAGCAAAGGUG
rnacentral:lncRNA from 1 species